rnacentral:lncRNA from 1 species
GACUUUUCAUAUGAGUGGAUAUGAAUGAGACAAAAAGUUCAAAUUCAAGGAGAUAAUAAGAAAAACUUAUAUUCUAAAAUUAACAGUGCAUUAUCAAAGUAAUGCUUUACUUAAACCAUCAGAUAAAUUUUUGAUUGUAUACUUCUACAAAUAAACAAGACUAUGUUUAAUAUUAGACAGAAUGAUUAAAUGUAUAAUGUGUAAUUUGUUAUGUAUAAAAGAUGGCUAUAUAGUAUACCAGUGUUCAUAGUCUAGCUAUAUAUUUACAUGUGCUUUAUGUGUACACUAUAUUUGUGUGAGUUAGUGUGUGUGUACACUAUAAUUUAUGCCUAAGCAGAUCUGAAUAUAAAAUUAAAUUUGUUAUUAUUUGUUAUAAAAUGCAAUAAAUAUUAUAACCACA